rnacentral:lncRNA from 1 species
CGGAAUGUGGCUCAAGUUGGGAGGCGUUACCUGCGGAGGGUUUGAGGCACGCCCAGGAGCGAGCCCACGGUCGGCCGACGCGGGGCCAGGGGCGGGCCCCAGGAUCCGGAGCUUCGGGCGGGGCCGAGUCUGGGUUUGGGGCCCGGGAGGCGGGGCCAGUUAGGGCGAGGGUCCCUGGGAUCGUCGGGUCAGGCCUUGGGCUAACGUAGACACUCUCGCAGUACCUCCGCCUUCAGGAAGGUCUUUUUAGCAGGGGCCUUACAGGUGCACGCUUCGGUCCUGGAGGCCUUAUCCUAACCUCUCCAUCAGCGCCACCCGUCUGGGGCCCGAAAGGAGGGAGCUUUCCCUCUGUCCUCCAGCCUUUGGACUGUCUCCAAACAAGCCAUUCGUUCACCAAAUACUUAUUAAGCACCUACCAUGUGCCUGACAAGGGAGAUGUAACGCUGUUGUUCCCCACCAGAACCAAAUGAGCGCAAGAUCUGACAAAGAAAAAAAAGGUUCAUCUUUUAUUCCCCCAAACACUUUCAUUUAAAUCAAGAGGAUGGGAUGUGGUUAUUGCUGUGUUUUUAGACAGAAUCAACGGUUUCUGUGUCUGAGAUGUUGCAUACACCCUCUCAGUCCCUCUAUCCUGAGAUGGAGUCACCUGAGGAUCCACAGCAAGUCCUAACCAGGGAUGGGUCUGGGUGAUUAAGGAAGGUUGGCUUCAGAACUGGGCCAGGGGCACUGCUUUGCUUUUGCUGUUUUGAUCAGCUCUCUGCCUGCAGGAGACAAGGAAAACCAAUGGGAACAGCCCAGUAAAGGCUCCAUUCCCCAUUUUACAGCUGGGGAAACUGAGUUACAGAGCUUUUCUGCACUGAGUCAUCAGGAGCAAAUGCUAGAUCAGAUAGGGUCUCUCUCUCUGCCACCCAGGCCAGAGUGCAGUUGACGCAGGGCAGGGGAGCCCCGAAGUGGAGCAUAGUGUGUCCGGAACUGGUGGGUUCUUGGUCUCACUGACUUCAAGAAUGAAGCCGUGGACCCUCACGUGUCUCACUCUGUUGCCCAGACUGGAGU